AGAGUUUGAUCCUGGCUCAGAACGAACGCUGGCGGCGCGUUUUAAGCAUGCAAGUCGAACGGGAACCUUGUCUUCGGACGAGGGGAUAGUGGCGAACGGGUGAGUAACACGUAGGUGAUCUGUCCUUGGAGUGGGGGAUAGCCCAUGGAAACAUGGGGUAAUACCGCAUGAGGUCUUGGAACUAUGGUUCUUAGAUGAAAGGAGCAAAUGUUCCGCUUUGGGAUGAGCCUGCGGUCCAUUAGCUAGUUGGUAGGGUAAAGGCCUACCAAGGCUACGAUGGAUAGCCGACCUGAGAGGGUGAACGGUCACACUGGGACUGAGACACGGCCCAGACUCCUACGGGAGGCAGCAGCUAAGAAUCUUCCGCAAUGGGGGAAACCCUGACGGAGCGACGCCGCGUGGACGAUGAAGGCCUAGAGGUUGUAAAGUCCUUUUGCAGACGAAGAAUAAGGCAAGGAGUGGAACGCCUUGCUGAUGACGUUAGUCUUGCGAAUAAGCCCCGGCCAAUUACGUGCCAGCAGCCGCGGUAACACGUAUGGGGCGAGCGUUGUUCGGAAUUAUUGGGCGUAAAGGGCGCGUAGGCGGUGCUAUAAGCUUGGUGUGAAAUCCCCCGGCCUAACUGGGGAAUAGCGCUGAGAACUGUAGUGCUUGAGUUCUGGAGAGGAAGCUGGAAUUCCUGGUGUAGGGGUGAAAUCUGUAGAUAUCAGGAAGAACACCGGUGGCGAAGGCGGGCUUCUGGCCAGAAACUGACGCUGAGGCGCGAAAGCGUGGGGAGCGAACAGGAUUAGAUACCCUGGUAGUCCACGCUGUAAACGAUGUGCACUGGGUGUCGGGGCUUUAAUGGGUCUCGGUGCCGUAGUUAACGCGAUAAGUGCACCGCCUGGGGAGUAUGCUCGCAAGGGUGAAACUCAAAGGAAUUGACGGGGGCCCGCACAAGCGGUGGAGCAUGUGGUUUAAUUCGAUACGCGAGGAACCUUACCAGGGCUUGACAUGUACCUGACGGUCUGUGAGAGCAGGCUUUCUCUUCUGGGACGGGUACACAGGUGCUGCAUGGUUGUCGUCAGCUCGUGUCGUGAGAUGUUGGGUUAAGUCCCGCAACGAGCGCAACCCCUACUGUCUGUUGCCAGCAUUAAGUUGGGGACUCGGACGGAACUGCCGGUGACAAACCGGAGGAAGGUGGGGAUGACGUCAAAUCAUCAUGGCCCUUAUGUCCUGGGCUACACCUGCUACAAUGGCAGGUACAGCGCGCAGGAGCGAAACGGUGACGUGGAGCCAAUCGCUAAAAGCCUGCCUCAGUUCGGAUUGGAGUCUGAAACUCGACUCCAUGAAGGUGGAAUCGCUAGUAAUCGCGCAUCAGCAUGGCGCGGUGAAUACGUUCCCGGGCCUUGUACACACCGCCCGUCACACCACCCGAGUUGGGGGUACCCGAAGUCGCUUGUCUAACCCAUUUAUGGGGCGACGGCGCCGAAGGUAUGCCUGGUAAGGGGGGUGAAGUCGUAACAAGGUA
rnacentral:rRNA from 1 species